rnacentral:pre_miRNA from 1 species
UUACUACUCCCUCCGUUACGAAUUACUUGUCGCAGGUAUGGAUGUAUCUAGAUGUAUUUUAGUUCUAGAUACAUCCAUUUCUGCGACGAGUAAUUUGGAACGGAGGGAGUAGUUG